CGUGUAGGCGGUUUGGUAAGUCUGAUGUGAAAGCCCUGGGCUCAACCCGGGAAGUGCAUUGGAAACUGUCAGACUUGAAUACGGGGAGAGGGUAGUGGAAUUCCUGGUGUAGGAGUGAAAUCCGUAGAUAUCAGGAGGAACACCGGUGGCGAAGGCGGCUGCCUGGACCGAUAUUGACGCUGAGACGCGAAAGCGUGGGUAGCAAACAGGAUUAGAUACCCUGGUAGUCCACGCCGUAAACGAUGAGUACUAGGUGUUGCGGGUAUUGACCCCUGCAGUGCCGCAGCUAACGCAUUAAGUACUCCGCCUGGGAAGUACGGUCGCAAGACUAAA
rnacentral:rRNA from 1 species